GGUGCAUCAGCAGAAGAGGAGAAAGAAAGACAAGAAGGUGGGGAAGAAGAUAUAAAUAAUGCUGGCACUUGUGCUGUCCAUGAAGAGCUGGAUUUGGGACAAAUGUACCUUACCUGUUUGCCUGAGCGAUAUAUGAGAGUGAAACUCACUCAGACAGUGUACCUGAUAUGCUGGCUGCUGCUGAAACUCUGCAAGAAAGCCUAUGAGAAAAGACUGUCUGCUUCUAAAAAGGAGUGCCAAGGGGAUGCUGUAAGAAGGACUGCUGGAAAAAGAGAAGAGAGACCUUCUGAGAAGACACAGUGCCACACUGAG